AUGUGGGUGUCGCUCAAGCUCGUGCUCCUCGCCCAUCCCGCCGCCGCCGGCGACGUCGUCAAUGCGCGCCUAGACUGCUGGCUCGUGGAUCCCGCGGGUUUGGCCGCGCAGUCGGAGGCCAGGACGGUGUCUGCAGCCUUCCGGGGCCACCACGGCGUCGAGUCGGCGCCGCUCAUGCUGGCGCACAGGCGCGACCUGGAGAUCUCCGGCUACCUUGGGGCCGACGGCACCCUCACCGUGAAAUGCGCCAUCACGGUGCUUCGGGAACAGCGCCCUAGAGUGGACGUGCCCGCGUCGCUUCCUGUGCCGGCCACAGACCUGGACCGGCACCUCAGGGAGCUCCUGCGGAGCGGGACGGGAUCCGACAUCGCGUUCGUCGUCUCCGGCAAAACGUUCCCCGCGCACAAGGUCGUGCUCGCCGCGAGGUCACCGCUCUUCAUGGCCGAGUUCUUCGGGGACGCGAGCGAGAAGAAGUGCGCGCGGCGCCUGGAGGUCCACGGCAUGGAGGCGGCGGAGUUCAAGGCCAUGCUGCACUUCAUCUACACAGACACGGCACCGGAGCUCGACCGACACGACGAUGAGGAGUCGGUGGCAUUGACCUGUAGCCUCCUCGCGGCCGCCGACAGGUAUGGGCUGGACAGGCUCAAGCUGAUCUGCUCGCAGAAGCUCUCUGCUAGCAUUUGCGUCGGGACGGUGGCCAGGAUUCUGGCUCUGGCGGACAUGAACAACUGCCCGCGGCUCAAGGCGACGUGCGUUGAGUUCAUCGUCGGAACGCCGGCGAUUCUUGGUGCCGUGUUGGCGACAGAGGGCUACAAGGACCUGGAGGCGAACUGCCCUUGGGUGCUGGCUGACAUUCUCAAGUCUGCAAGCGGGAGAAACAAUUGA
rnacentral:rRNA from 1 species